UGACUACAGCACAUCCAUUUUCCUUUACAGCAUGUAGUACGUUUUAUACCUUUUUCUACAAUGAAUCCUCUACGCAGAAAUUCCUGUACACAUCUUAUGAACAAAGAAUUUGAGCUUCAACGAGUGGCUCAAAGAGGUCAGGAGGCACCUUUAACACUUUUAUUGGAGAUCUCCUUGUCUAGAUCAUCAGAUUCUCACUCUGUCACCCAGGCUACAGUGCAGUGGUGCGAUCUCAACUCACUGCAACCUCUACCUCCUGGGUUCAAGCAAUUCUCCUACCUCAGCCUCCCAAGUAGCUGGGAUUACAGGAAUUACACACUGAUAGUGAAGAACAGGUGGCACCUGAAAUCACGGAAAAUGUAUUUGUCCUCAAUGCAAAGAUGAACUAUAAAGAGCACUUUAUUGUGUUUGAAGAAUGUAGGAAUGAUGAGUGAAAUGGUGAAGGAAGUGGAUAAACAAUGAUGUAAUGACUUAGCCUCAUCUUUCAACUCAAUAAGCCAAUGGGGAACUUGGUAAAUUUGUUGAUUAUGUUUAGCUUUACAAUGCUUAAUUCUUUAUUAUUUUGAAGUGAUGUAUUUUAUUAUUAGGAAUGAUCAAUAGUAAUGCAUCCUCCAAAACUGUGGAAAGAUCAUAUUGUGCAAACUAGAGCAAAAAAAUCACAUUCCUCCUGCAUGGGCAUGAAAUCUUUAUCAAAUGACAUCAGGCACUGAAGCAGCUAUCUGAUACCUUCCUUGCUUCCACCAAAUGGAAAGGUUAUUUUAGGAUUCUCUCUUUGUCUGUCUCUUAUGCUGCAAACAUAGUCACUCUCCUCAGUCAUCAUACUCACAAUACCACUCCCUUCACAAAUAAAGGACAAAUACUUAUUCAAGUUUCCAUGAAAAGGAGUAACUACUAAGACCUUGACAUUCUUGAAAAAGCAUAUAUUUGCUGUUCUAAGUAAUGUUUAUGAUCAAGGUUCUUGUGCAACCAGAUACGGUUUCUAACAGGAAGCUUAUAAAUUUUUCUUAUAAUUGCUGUCAAAACUGCAGUGAAGUGUACUACAAGUUUUGAUAAUAAAGAAUAAAGUCACAGUUCAAACUCGAUUAUAUUUUGGAAAUUCAUGCUCCUCUUACUAGAAGCAGUGGCCUUAAAUAUCUUCCCACCCUGCCAAAUUUUUCACUUGCACUUUUUAUUAUUUAUGAAAUCAGUCUCUGCACAAUGUCAUGCAGACCUCUGCUGAUAAACUCUAAUUAAGAUUAAGACAAGCCUUUUGGAAAGGAUCCCAUCAUUAGCAAACAUGAUAAACACAAAAAUACUCCCUACUUGUCAACCAGGAGCAAUUCAGUAACCUAACAGUAUUAUCUGUUGCUAGGUUACAGCGCUGACAAAGCUUCAAUUAUAUUGUUCCACCAUACCUAUAGAGUUCUGUAUAAGCAAAAUGUAUCCAGAAUAAAAGCUUUUAACUUCAUCCAUGCUAUCUGCAAUUCAUGGCUUCUUACAAUGGUAAAUAUCAGGUUAAUAAUUACAUAGCACGCUGAAAAAUCUUUUCCAGGUGUUAUGUCUAUACAUGUUUCUUUCUAAUUUAUCUGCGUGAUUGAUAGACGCUUGCUUUAUAAAAAUAAGGAAAUGCAAGCAACGUGAAGCUGUAAACCUCUAGCACAACUACGGGGGCUCAUCAAGAUAUGGACCUAAGCUUAGCAUAAAAAUAUAUAGCAAAUUGAACCAAUUAAAUCACAUUUAGAUUUUGUAUUACUCUGCCUCAAUAUAUAGUAGGAUAAGGAGCCUGAGGCAAUAGAUAGGAAUAUCAGUGUGAAACUUUAUUUUAAGCUAAAAACAAGCAAACAAACCGCAUACAUUCUCACUAACAAUACAAAGGGAAAUAGAUGGUUUAAAAUAACAAGUUAUUCUGAUGGCUUUUCUAAAGAUAUUUAAAAGUUAAAGUUAAUGACUUUUACUGCAUAGCAUCGUCAUUAAGUCUCAUUUCUCUUUUUUUAGACUAGGAAUUCUGGGGAAAAACUCAAUAAAACAUCCCCCAAAAUACAGAUACUUAAUAGGGAAAAACCAAAGUAAAAAGAUGUCUGUAUUAAAAAAAAAAAAAAAAAAAAAAAAAAGAUGACAGUUUCUGUGAAUCAGGCUCUCAAAAUGAUUUUACCAUGGGUAAUUUUUAUGGGUUUCAUAAAAAUUUGGAGAAAAAGUAAUUAUGCAUAACGGAACCAGCAUUUUUAAAUAGCUCUUGCAUAAAAUAUGCUAUAUCAUAUACUAAAUUGCUGCUGCAUUUUGCUUCCUUAAGAUGUAGAUUGAUACUUCUGCAUUGAUUUAAAAAGUCUGUCACCUCCACAUACCAUGGAAAAAAAUGGUCAACUGAUGACAAGCACGUAGUUAAUGAAGAUUACACAUUGGCCUAUGAAGUAAAUCAUGAUCUCUUGUAGGCACAUUCAAGUAAAAUUAAAGCCAUUCUCUGGGGGAAUAGGCCAUUUAACACAGAAACACACACACACACACACACACAGAGACAUAUACAGAGUGGUAUCAUGUUUCUGGAGGUGGAGAAAAGUGGAAUACUUACUUGUUUGGUCAUUAACUUCUUUUAUUUUUACUAAAUAAUUAGAAAAAUCUCACAUGACACCUCCCUCUGAAAUCUUUUUUUUUUUUUUUUCCGUAACUGGGAAGUGAUUGGUCAGAAUAAUUCCUUAAAAGCUAAAUAACUGUCCCAUUUCAACAUCGCAUGUGGUAAUGCCUAGAUCUCAGGGUUUAGGCAUUAACACAGGACAUAUAUCUAUACGUGACCACAUUGCUUAGUACCAAUUUUAUAAUGAAUUCAAAUCCAAUACUGUUGAAAUUCUUGACAGUGGAGUAGUGGAAGGAAUAGAACUUAUAAAUUAUGGGUGCCCCUUCUUUGAAAACCGCUUUGGAGGUUUCUUUGUGCCUUGGCAAAUACAGUAGGAAUAUGAGGUAUUGUGUGGAUCCUCCUGCACAGCACCUGAUAAAAGAAUAAAGAGCUGUGACAUAUUCUUAAAACAAUAGAGGAAUUAAAGGGAAACAAUGGGCCAGCUGCUUCAUUAAUACAAUCAAAAGGGAGCCCAGCACAGAGGAGUCCAGAUAAUUAAGCACUACUCUUUUAGCCUUCCUUUCUAUAAUAAAAUUGCUUAAAAAUGUAUUAGCUACUUCAUAGUUGUUAGAUAGAUCUAUGCACUUGUUUAUUUAGAGUUGAUUAAUGCCUUUUUUUCCUAUGCAGCAACAUGCCAACUCAUAGUUUACAAUAGUUUUUGAAUAAAAUAGAGUAAAAUAAUUGAUAAAGAUCUGCACAAUACACAGCAAUAAAUCAAAGCAUUUUGCAAAAGGUCUUUCCUGUUUUUAAAUGAUCUUUAACGUUUUACACUUGUGCUAGAUAGGCAACGCAGGGCAUUUGGGGGCAUUCAACUUUCCCAUGCUGGCACUCCUGACAGCUUUUUAUAGAACAUCCUAGCAGUUCUUGGGAGAAGGGAGAAAGUCAGACCUGACCAACUACCCUGGAGUGUGCCUUUUGUAUUUGGACCAAAGGAGAGGGCAGCUUUUUUUAAAAAAAAUUAUUCAUUGCCUUUUCCAAUCAAGAGGAAUGGACAAAUGGCCGAAACCAUUUGCCAAAUCCACUAUUUAUCCUUCAUUAACUUGAUUAUAGAAAAUGAAAACGCAAACUUUUUAUGCUCUUUAUGUUAAAACACAUUUUACAAUUUAAGAUAUCAAGGCUUUUGUUCUUCAGCUCUUCUGUAAGCAGCCUUUCCUCUGAUGUCAAUGGAACAUUUAAUUGCUUAAGAACUGGAAAAUUGGGAACUAAAUGCUUGUGCUGAAUAUUGGAGUUGGAUAAAAACUGCACUCUGGUUUUCUCCCAAAUAUUUUUCCAUAAGCUUAUGUCAACCCAACUUUAAAAUUACAAACUUGACUAAACCAUGUGGCUAGUUUCUAUUCUGAUGAUUUCAGGACUUUAAUUGAGUAACCAAGACAGAAUUAGAAAGAGGAAGCAGGGAGAUAAAUGGAUAGAGAUGCUCAGCCGUAUUUCUGAGACUAAGAGAAGAUUCUGCUUUUACACAUGUUAUAUAUAAUUUAAAAUGUAUCAGCCGAAGUCAUAUUUCCAAAGAACUUUCUGUAUUAUGUCAACAUAUUAUAGGAUAUGGAAUAUCUAUUUCUGGCUAUGAAAUCUGGCUUCUGACUUCAGUAGUUAGUUUCCUAUUCACUUAGUAAGUUUUCCUUGAAUACCAGGAAAUAAAAGCAUAUAAAUAGUCAGUAGCUACAGUAGCUACAAACAAAAAUAACUAGUUUAGGAGCUAUUGUAUAUGAUUAUUUAUUUGACUAUUUUUGUCUUGACUAGGCUCACAAAACUUACUUUGUUAGAAUGGAAAGUAAAAGUAGAUAGAUAAGAAUUGUUUAUAGGCUAUGAAUAAUGAAGUGAACUCCUUCAAGUAUACAUAUCUUUGAACACAUCAGGUUAUAAACCAAGUCCUUACACCAACGCAAAAAACUAGUAAAUGGUGACCAUGCUAUAUUGUAAAACUAAUAAAUUACAGUAUCCUCUUUUAGCAAAUAUUUUAGAAAUGAGCUUAAAGUAUAAUCUGUGAUUUAUGUGUCACUUCAAAUAUUAUAUGCUUAUAUUAUAUUACUUAAUGUAAAUUCAACAGAUAGUAUAUAGGUCUGAUCGGAACUUAGAAACAAAGAAACAUGAACAGACUCAUUAAUCUAUGUAAUUAGCUGUGGCAAACAGGAACUACUAUCAUUCCAUUUCACAGAAAAGGAAAGCAAAGCCAGACUGGUUAAACCUGUGUGUUCCCUAAACUCCCCUCUUCUCAAAUAGGGCAUUCUCUGGCCCAAGCUUGUAACAGAUCCCUGCUAGAUUUUUGGUUCCUGUCUUGUAUUCUUUCCACAGUACUUUUUUAUUUUUAUUUUUUAUUUUUCCUGUAAGAGAAUGUCUCCUAUUAAGACAACUUCCUUUCUUUUUUAAGAAGCUCACGAAGCUUCUUUCGGGAAAGUAAACAGAGUCAUUGUCAUCAGGCCCAGAUUUCUAUUUAAGCAUAAGCUCAGAAAGUUUUGUCCCGUGAAUAAAAAAGCACUCAGAGCUUUCUGGAAAACCUGAAUUAAUGUGUUGGAGGCCAUGGGGCUCAGGUAUCCUACCUUGGGUUUAAUCAAACAGAUAAGCUGUUUUUAUGGGAUUUCAACAGGAAAGGCCUGUGCGUGAAGCCUCAUCAGCAUUCUGGGGUUUGUGUCCUGGGUGCUUAGCGGAAACUUGCAAUGGGGCACUGAGGUAGCCAUCUGACUGUAUGGCUCUCUGACUAACCUGAUUUUAAAUGACCAGCCAAGAGGUGACAUACACCCCAAAGGCGAGCUGUCAAAAUUUCGCCUGCAGCUGAUAAACUGAUUACAAAGCUGCUUAAGACUCUGCUUGUAAACAAAAGCAUUUAUCAACUAAUAAUUUGCAAUAAACUGAUGUAACUCCCAGCUGAGCCCCUAACUGUAAUUGUCUUUACCAUCUGCCUAUUAAAAUACCAUUCUUCAUCAGCAAUCAGGAGCAGAAGGGAGGAAAUCUCCACCAAAAUACACAACUUGUAAGCUUAUGAAUAAUCUGAUUGCAUUCCACACUUUCAUUACGACUUGUGUGUUGGGUAUGCUUAAUUUUCAUUCUUGCUAGCCUGGGAAUGCACUGAAAUUAGGUGGAGGGGAAAAGAAGCGGGGAGGGGGGGAAAUGAAACACUCCGCCUGCUGCUCUGCAGAGGAAUAAAUUAUACAAGUUCAUCAUAGGAGGCUGUUUGUAAUUUCUUUCUUCUUCCACUUCUCUGUGCAAUAUCCAUUGCGGUAUCCUGAUGAAAACCCCCCAAGCACCAAGCUGAAAAUGAACCUCUCUAUUCCUUUGUCAGCUUGUCCAUUUCUAUUACUCUUCUUUGUUUUGCUUUUUUAAAAAAAAAAAAUUCCAAGAGGCUCAUUAAACUUCUCUAAGGAGUAAGUUUAAGAGUGUCAACUGCUACGGAGCGGGGUGCGGGGGGUGAAGGGCUGGGUGGAUCCAGGGGGUGGAAGUGCCAAGUAGCUGGCAGGAUCCUGUGUUUGCAGGCCUCAGUUUGCCACCACAGAUGGAUGGCUUCCAUCUUCAAGUCUCCCUCAAGCACUUAAGAGGUUUCUCCUCCCGAAAACUGGAUUUCAGCAUCAGUAAGUUCAAACAGUCAGAAAUUCCUUUCUUAGAAGAACUUCUGCCCCUUUGCUGCUGACCAGAUGCUGCUACAGAAGAAAGAAACUAGGAAAAGGGGUUAAAUUUCUGUGCUUUGUAUUUUUCUGGAAACUGUCUCUGAACAACCAACAUCCUUUUAUACCUUCAUAAAGUUUAUUAAGUUUUAAGUAUAUUUAUCUGAGUUUUUUCUUCACAAAAUGUCCUACUGACUUUUACAAACCACAGUAAUAAACACACAAAUUUCCCUGACAUUGACAUUUUAAAAUUAAAAAUACUAUACUUCUUUUCAUGUCCCUUUGCUGCCCAGACGAUGUUCCUUUUGUCAAGUUAUUCCUGUUUUCAGGAAACAUGUUAUCUCUUCAGCAGAGCUCAGUAAUUCCACUGAUGGAGACCAUAGGAUACGUUAUUAUGAUGAACAAUGACCAAGACCUGUUAUUAAGGUUCAAAUUCUGGGGAUAACAAUAGGUGUCAGGCUUUUUAAUUAUAAGAUAUAAUUAUAAAUUGAUGUUUGUGUUUUUUAUUUCACUUUUCUAAGAGCUUCUGCAUAGGUAAUUAUUUUUCUUUGCAAUCUACUGUUAUAUAUAAGAGAACUAGUAAUUGCCUACCGGAGGAACAGUGGAAGUGGCACACAGGCACCAUUUUCUUAUUGUGCCUGGUCUAGAGAAGAAAGCUAAUGGGGAACAAUGGGUCUAAUUUUCUGCAUAGGUUAUGGAGGACCUGAAAUGCAGGCAAAACCACACGUGACUAUGUUCCUUGAAUUUCAGAGACAUAUUAGGACAAAAAUUUGCCAUGGAUUUUAAACAACAUGAAAAUUGUCAGACACUAAUUAUGUGAAGUCUAAUUCUUUCUAGAAACACUUUGUUUCCUUCUCAUCCUAGCUUUCCAGGCUUUGAAAUUCUUUGGUCAUAGAGAUUAUUUUUAAUUAAUAAAGAAGAUGUGGAGUAUGAAUGAGUGUGUUUCAUUGUGUUGAUUUGUCAUGUCUUUUACAAAAAGUAACCAAAAAUCUAUAACACAAUUUAACUCAUAAUUUAAGGUUUAAAGAUGACUGAGAUCAAACUUCCAUGUUCAAUGGUUGCUUCAAAAUAUCCACAAAUAAAUGGUGGUGGGGGGUUUGUUUUUUAUUUUAUUAAUCCUUUUUUUUGCUCUAAAUAGAUAUUUUCAUGUCAUGAUUUAGAUAAAACUAGAAAAUUCUAAUAGUGUAGUUAAUUAGUUCUAUAUCUAAAACUUUUAUCAUAGUCUACUCUAAAAUAUGAAAAUUCAAUCCAUUCCUUAGCUGAAAGGUUUUUAUUUUAUUUUUAAAAACUAUUUUUUUUUUACUCCAAAUGAAUAUUUUCAUAUCAUGAUUUAGGUAAAACCAGAAGACUUUAAUACUGUGCUUAUUACUUCUACAUCUAAAACUUUCAAAAUGUUCUAUUCUAAAAUACAGAAAUUCAACCCUUUCCUUAUCUGAAAGGUUACUGGAUUUCUAUUUCUAAAAUAAAACACUGUCAUGUGAAAUAAGGGCUAUUUAUAGUGCAUAGAUGCUCUUUUAUUUUCUUCGUGAAGCUCCCUUUCUCUAUAUGUUGGUAUAUAUAUACCUAGGCUCAAUUUCAAAUGACAGUACCUUGGUAAGAAAAUAGUUUUAAAAAAGUAACAACCAGCAGAUGGCGCUCAGUGCAUUCCUUGAAGUCAGCCGGAAGAAAAGAGAAUGUGGGCUUUAUUUAUUUAAUUCUAUUCUACGUUAAAUGUGAAGUUGCUACACCAAGGUUUAUAAUCGCCAAAGAUUUAUGUUAACUGAGUAAACAACUUUGUGGUAAUUUACAGACUAUCCUCCAAUGCUCAACUAAAUGGCACUGCAUUCAACUCACGUGCCCAAGUUAAGAUAACAAAGCAUAAAGAGGUAACUUUCCCCCGGAAACAGGAUAAGAACAGAAGCCUGGGUUCCUGAAGUAUGACAUAAACUCACCAAGUGAGUAGGGCUAAAUUUUCUGGUUAAAAUAAGGCAGUUUCCAUUCCUUUACUUUUUAGCACCUUGCUUUAUUAAAUGAAGGAUGCAAAAAUCUUAUUUUUGAAUGGAUUCAUAACCUGCAUGACAGAUAUUUUUAAGUCAUCUUAUAAUAAAACUCUUUGAGCAGAUAUUUGCACCGAGACACAUAUACUGCUUCUAAAUUUUAAGGGGAAUUAUGUGUGCUGAGGAGGAAAACAACAGAUUUGAAUGGUUGAGACUACUAUACAUAGAAAACUGAUGUAACCCUUUACAAAGUCUAUCUGAAGUUAUAUUCUUUUGUCUUCCUUCCUCUUUACCCCUGCCUGCUUUAUCCUCCUUCAAGCAGGGAAAGUCUUUGCUCUGACCUUUAAAAGUUCAUUAUUCUUCAGUCAUCACUGGGUGUGUCUAUAACAGCAGUAUUUCAUUUCCUCUCAUGACAAAGAGUGUAAGAAAUUUUACCUGAGCAUACUUAUAAAUCCCUAUAUGCUCACCUUCUCCCAUCUGUUACUGUGAUUUUGUCGCGGACUGAGUGCUUUUCCCCACUUGAAUUUAACUUUGCCUUGCAUAUUACGAAGGUAGUCAUCAUCACACUACAUUCUUAACCCUCAACCCUUGCCAUUCUUAAGUGGAAGUUCCGGACCACAGUCCCAAUUAUAUGGCUGCUUAACAGUGGUCUUAACCUUUAAGGUUUCAGUUGGUGAAUUUCUAGGCAAAGUCCCAUGAAAGCAAAUGGAAAGUGAUCUUGAAAACCUCCAUGGGCUUGUGUGUAAUAAACAUCAUGUAGUAUUCCACCAUCAUCUGUGAGGACCACUUAAAGCAUGUAUUUGUAGAAGAUGCACAAUAUAGUUACUCCAUAAUCUUAUUCCCAUUUAAGAACAUUAGCAUCUCUCACAAAUUAUAUUAGCAUUAGUAAAACAAAGGAAAUUAAAAACAAGUGCUCAGUUAACAGAAUAGCAUAUCAUCUAAUUUCAAAGGAAGAAACGGGGCUCCAAGUCAUUGUAACUCCAUAAACAGAAGAAGGGCGUCCUCACUCUGCCCUGUGCUUUGAAAAUCUGUCUUUCAAGGUCGGCCCCUUCACAGUCCAGUUAGGAAGGGCAGCGUGGAAGGAGGGGUGGCUUUCUGCCAAGGCUGUUGCAGAUGAGUGGGUGAUCUUAGGGGAAUGAACGGCAAAAUCUCAAAUUUUUGCUCGUGUGACAAUAAAACCAGAGCCAGCUAAUUUUUCUAAGACUUGUAUGGCCUUCUGUUGCACUUCAUUGUGCAGUUUUGAAUGAUAAAUUUUGCUAUGCAUUAAUUUCCACAAAAGGGUCAGUGCUAUACUUAAGAGCACACCACUGUUUCCAAUAGGAGUAACAAAAAUAUAUUGUCUUCAUCCUGAAAUAGAUACAAACAAGUAUAGAAAAAAAUGUGCUGUUAUCAAUACCUUUAAGAGUAAAGAGAGAAUUCUUUUCACUGUUUCCCAGAUUCCUGUUAUUUGGAUGAUGUUGUGACAGGAUUUUGUAAAAUAGGUUCAUGUUUUAUAUCACAUAUCAUUAGAUGCCUCUAGGUAUGAGUGUUAAGGAAAAAGAAGACGACGACAGUGGGAAUCCUCUUCAGAGUAAGUUCUCUCCAAAUAUAGCAUAAUAGAUUGGG